UUAAUCGAAGCCAAAGCAGAGGCCUUUCAUUGUUAAUGAAAAAAAUGAUAACACUAUCCGAUUAAA
rnacentral:tRNA from 1 species